rnacentral:tRNA from 1 species
GGUUUCGUGGUGUAGUGGUUAUCACGUCUGCUUCAUACGCAGAAGGUCGCGAGUUCGAGCCUCGCCGAAACCU